rnacentral:rRNA from 1 species
GAUGAACGCUGGCGGCGUGCCUAAUACAUGCAAGUAGAACGCUGAAGGAGGAGCUUGCUCUUCUGGAUGAGUUGCGAACGGGUGAGUAACGCGUAGGUAACCUGCCUGGUAGCGGGGGAUAACUCUUGGAAACGCUAGCUAAUACCGCAUGACAACAGUUAUUGCAUGAUAACUGUUUAAAAGGGGCAACUGCUCCACUACCAGAUGGACCUGCGUUGUAUUAGCUAGUUGGUGAGGUAACGGCUCACCAAGGCGACGAUACAUAGCCGACCUGAGAGGGGGAUCGGCCACACUGGGACUGGGACACGGCCCAGACCCCUACGGGGGGCAGCCGGAGGGAAACUUCGGCAAUGGACGGAAGGCUGACCGGGCAACGCCGCGUGAGUGAAGAAGGUUUUCGGAUCGGAAAGCUCUGUUGUAAGGGAAGAACGAGUGUGGGAGUGGAAAGUUCACACUGUGACGGUAUCUUACCAGAAAGGGACGGCUAACUACGUG